ACCGGCCGUAACCACGCGCAGGCCAUCAACGGCGACGCCAAGCGAGACUUCGCGAUACUCGGCCUUGUUCUCCUUGUUCACGACCAUCACGUACUUCUUGUUCUGGUCGGUGCCGACAGCGCGCUCGUUGAUCAUCAUGGCGCGUUCGGUUUUGGGCUGGCCCAUUUGCAGGCGGACGAAUUGUCCGGGGAUCAGACGGCCAUCCUUGUUGUCGAAGAUGGCGCGGACCCGCACCGUGCCGCUGCGUGCAUCGACCUGGUUGUCGAUCAGCUGCAUCUGGCCCUCGAACGGCAGGC
rnacentral:misc_RNA from 1 species